rnacentral:rRNA from 1 species
AGGAUUUUUUUCGCCCCACCAUGGGAAUCAACACCCCGCCCCAAAUCUCCUACGGGAGGGCUGCAGUUGGGAAUUCUUCCCACAAGGGGCGAAAACCCUGGAGGGAGCAACCGCCGCGUGUGUGAUGAAGGCUUUCCGGGUCGUAAAGCACUGUUGUAUGGGAAGAACAGCUAGAAUAGGGAAUGAUUUUAGUUUGACGGUACCAUACCAGAAAGGGACGGCUAAAUACGUGCCAGCAGCCGCGGUAAUACGUAUGUCCCGAGCGUUAUCCGGAUUUAUUGGGCGUAAAGCGAGCGCAGACGGUUGAUUAAGUCUGAUGUGAAAGCCCGGAGCUCAACUCCGGAAUGGCAUUGGAAACUGGUUAACUUGAGUGCAGUAGAGGUAAGUGGAACUCCAUGUGUAGCGGUGGAAUGCGUAGAUAUAUGGAAGAACACCAGUGGCGAAGGCGGCUUACUGGACUGUAACUGACGUUGAGGCUCGAAAGUGUGGGUAGCAAACAGGAUUAGAUACCCUGGUAGUCCACACCGUAAACGAUGAACACUAGGUGUUAGGAGGUUUCCGCCUCUUAGUGCCGAAGCUAACGCAUUAAGUGUUCCGCCUGGGGAGUACGACCGCAAGGUUGAAACUCAAAGGAAUUGACGGGGACCCGCACAAGCGGUGGAGCAUGUGGUUUAAUUCGAAGCAACGCGAAGAACCUUACCAGGUCUUGACAUCCUUUGAAGCUUUUAGAGAUAGAAGUGUUCUCUUCGGAGACAAAGUGACAGGUGGUGCAUGGUCGUCGUCAGCUCGUGUCGUGAGAUGUUGGGUUAAGUCCCGCAACGAGCGCAACCCUUAUUGUUAGUUGCCAGCAUUCAGAUGGGCACUCUAGCGAGACUGCCGGUGACAAACCGGAGGAAGGCGGGGACGACGUCAGAUCAUCAUGCCCCUUAUGACCUGGGCUACACACGUGCUACAAUGGCGUAUACAACGAGUUGCCAACCCGCGAGGGUGAGCUAAUCUCUUAAAGUACGUCUCAGUUCGGAUUGUAGUCUGCAACUCGACUACAUGAAGUCGGAAUCGCUAGUAAUCGCGGAUCAGCACGCCGCGGUGAAUACGUUCCCGGGUCUUGUACACACCGCCCGUCACACCAUGGGAGUUUGUAAUGCCCAAAGCCGGUGGCCUAACCUUUAGGAAGGAGCCGUCUAAGCAGACAGAGGCCGA